GGCGAUGCGCUGCCGGUGAUGGGCGACGAGGCGGGCCUGCACCUCGUGAUCGGAUUGCCGAACGGCUGCGACGACCGGGCGAUCACGCAGACCGCGUUCGACGCGGGGGUGAUCGUGCGCCCGCUCACGACGUACUACAACCAUGCGGAUACCGCGCGCGAGGGAUUGCUGCUCGGCUACGCAUGCGUGCCGAACGAGCGCAUCGCGCCCGCGUUCGAUACGCUCGCGCAGAUAAUCGAAGCGCAUCUGAAUCGGCGUGCGAAGCAACGGGCCGCGUGAUGCAUGCAAUUCGCGCGAUGCGCGCGGCGUUCGACACGCCUGCUCGUUACGCCGACGCGCCGCGCACGCACGCCUGCCGCGCGCAUCGGACAUGCGCUCCGCUAUUGCGUCUGCGUCGCCGCGCCGCCGCGAUCGAGCGACGCCGCGCGCAGCGCCUCGCCCGGCUGCGUGAAAUAGCGCUGCCGCAGUUGCGCGAUCUGCGUGUCGCGAUCCUGCGGCGAGAGGUGCUGCGCAUCGAUCUGCGCGCGCUGCGCCGCAUAUUCGUCGUAUUUCGCGCGCCACGCGUCGUUCGCCUGCUGCAUCUUCGCGACGCGCUCCGCCGCCUCCGGCCCCAGCGAUUGCGCGAGCUGCGCGCGCAUUUCGUCGGGCGACGCACCGGACUUCUGCAAUUGCGCGAUCCGCGCGACGGCGUCGUUCUGCUGCUUCUCGCGCGCCUGCUCGGCGCGCUGGUCGAGCGGCAGUUGCUGCUCGAGCGCCGCGAGACGCGCGGCCUUCUGCGCAUCCGUCAACGAAGCGUCGCGCACGAUUCUCAACCGCGCGAGAUCGUAGCGCUGCCGCUGCUGCUCGGCGCCGAAAAACGGCUCGGCCCAAUCGCCGAGCGCGCGGCUCGCGAUCGAUGCGCGCUGAUCGAGCGCGAGCUGCAGCGCCGCGAGAUCGAGCUUGUUGCCGGGCGCGCCGCCGUCCGGCAACUGCGCGAGCUGAUCGAGAUACGCACGAUAGCGUUUCCAGACGUCGAGCGCCUCGCCCUGUGCGAGCGUGCCGUCGAGCUGCGCGGCGAUCUCGCGCGUGACGAGCGCAUCGAGCGCCUGCGCGCUCAGCUCGCUCUGCGCACUCAGGCAAUAGUCGAAGAAAUCGCGCACCGCGCGCGCCUUCGCGAGAUGGCCGUGCGCGUCGAGCGGCAGCCGCGGCGCCGACGAACCGGCCAGCGACGCGGGCAGGCCGCUCGCCGCGGAGCCGGCAUCGGCGCGCGCCGCGACGGCGACAGGCGCCGACGCGGCGAGCUCGGGCGAUGCGGGAGACGCGCCCGCAUCGCGCUUCGCCGGCGCGCCGACGACAUACCACACCGCGCCGGCCGCGACAGCGCCGGCCACACAGUAAAGCGCGACGCGCCGCGCAACGCUGCCUUCUCCCUUCAUCGAUCACACACCCUGCGUCUUCAACCGGUUCGCAUGCGUGCGGAUCACCGCGACCGGAUCCUCCGCGUACGCGCCGCGCACGCCGAGCAACUGGUUGAUCUCGUCGAGGUGGUCCACUUGUAGCUCGUGCCG
rnacentral:rRNA from 1 species